rnacentral:lncRNA from 1 species
UAUUUUGAUAAUCACUAUGAAAUCUGAGAAUAAUAAGAAAGUGCUUUAUUCUUCCUCUUAACAAAGACUACCUUGUAUUUUUGUCAUAUAGUCCUGUGAUCCCAUUUAAGAAAGUACCUAUUUGUUUUUGCACCAGACCACACUGCAUGAAGCUUCAUUUUUAUUUUUAUGUGAAUAUAUUCUUGGGUGCUUCCAUCCAGUUCAUUUAUCUCAGGCCAAGAAGGGAAAGUCUUCUUUGGAGUGGUUCAAUGAUAUUUGUGCUGAAAGUCAAGGUAGAUUUUGCCCGCAUGUAGCCUUCUUCAUUUCCUAAACUUCUAUUUUCUUAUUUAGCAGCUGCCCUUCAAUAAUAAUCUUAGUAUCCUCAGAAUAUUAUGUCCUCUGAUUAUUCUGUAAUACCCACUUCUGCCCACAAAGCAAAUAUGUCCCUGGGUUAAUCCUAUUGGAAGUGUUAAAUAGAAAUUUUAUGAAGGCCACAUCAAUAAAUAUUUCCAAAUAUCUGCUUGAUGAUAAAAAUGCUAUCAUAUGCUUUUCAACACUUGUAACAAAAAAAAAAAACCCUAUAAAGCAAGUAUAUUUUUAGUUUGAAGUACAUUUUUUCCUAUGUACCUGAAAUAUCUUGAACAGUCUAAAUUAGAGUUUAGGUUUUCAAUACAUUGCAAGUCAGAACAGUGAUACCAAGAAAAUGCAACCAUAGGUAGGAUGAACAUAAGUAAGCAAAAAUAAUCCCAGAACUCAUCAUCAUCUAAGUAAUUUCAAAAUGCAAUAAUCAUAAAUCUCUUAAGUUGGAUGAUUCCUUAAAAUUCUCAAUAUAAUAUCGAUACUGGCCAAGAAGUUAUCCCUGAGAAAUAAAUGAAUUGCUUUUGCAUAUCAAAUCUUUACCAUAUGGUACAUGUUGAUUUAGAUUAACAUUUCUAGUUAUUAUCUUUGGGAUUUUUAAAUGGUACUUUGUUACCUCCAAAACUGCACUUUUUUAAUGAGUGGUUGUAGAUUUGUAAAUAUGUAACACUGAAAUUUUAUUUACCAAAAAGAAUAUCAGGAAGUUCAUUGUUUUGUUUUAUAAUUCAUUUAAAAUAUAUCUGAU